AAGAGGGUCAACAUUAAAAUGUCUCCCUGCAAGCUAUGUUAUGGGCCUUAAAGACAUUGAAGUCAUUAGGUCCCUGAAAAUGACUACAGGA
ensembl:snoRNA